rnacentral:ncRNA from 1 species
GUAACUUUACUGUAAUUAAAUAAAAACUACUAUUUAAAAUUGAUUAUGGAAUAUAAAAAUUAUAUUUAAUUAUCCAGUUCUUAACUUUUAUCAAUUAUAUAAAAUAAAAUAAGUAAUUAAAAAUUUUCUCAGGUAAAUUAGGUGCCAGCAACCGCGGUCAUACCUAAUAAGAUAGUAAGUAAAAAUAAAAUAAAAUAUAUAUCUUAUAAUCUAUAAAAAUUAAAGUUAAUUAGUGAAAUAUUAAAAAAACUUUAAUAUAUUUUAUUUAUAGAUCUUUCAUAAAUAAAAAAAAAUUAAAUAGAAACUAGGAUUAGAUACCCUACUAUCUUUUAAGUAAAUAUUAUAUUUGAGUAUUAAAUUUAUUUAAUAAAAUUAAACUCAAAGAGUAUGGUAGUAAUUAUUACAUUUAGGGGAACUUACCACAUAAUAGAUAGUCAUCAAGUAUUUCUACAAAACUAAAAAAUCAAGUUUGUAUACCGUCGUUUUCUUAUAAGUUAAACUUGUAAGUUAACUUUUUUAUUUUAAAAGUUAAAUAUCAGAUCAAAGUACAGCAUUUUUAGUGAGUUUUGGCGAGUUACAAUAAAAAAUUUUAUUCUAUAAUAUUAAUAAUUUUUAAUAAAAAUAUUUUAGGUGGACUUAAAAGUAAUAUAUAAUAUAAAUAAAAUAUAUUAAUUAUAAUGAAUUUUUUAAUAAUUGUGCACAAAUCGCCCGUCGUUCUCAACUUUAAUUGAGACAAGUCGUAACAUAGUAGAAAUAGUGGAAACUGUUUCU